rnacentral:lncRNA from 1 species
CAACACAACCUCCACAGAGACAGAAACAUAAGGCAGAAAAUUAGGUGACAGGUCAAGAAGAACAACGGAAGACGGAAACAACGGAAACAACCGAAACAACCGAAACAACCAUAACAACCUCCACAGAGACAGAAACAUAAGGCAGAUAAUUAGGUGACAGGUCAAGAAGAACAACGGAAGACGGAAACAACGGAAACAACCGAAACAACCGAAACAACCAUAACAACCUCCACAGAGACAGAAACAUAAGGCAGAUAAUUAGGUGACAGGUCAAGAACAACAACGGAAACACUAACGGAAACACUAACGGAAACACUAACGGAAACAUCCGCCAGAGAGACAGAAACAUACGGCAGAAAAUUAGGUGACAUGUCAAGAACAACAACGGAAACAACUGAAACAACCAAAACAACCGAAACAACCUCCACAGAGACAGAAACAUAAGGCAGAAAAUUAGGUAACAGGUCAAGCACAACAACGGAAACAACCGAAACAACCUGCACAGAGACAGAAACAUAAGGCAGAAAAUUAGGUGACAGGUCAAGAACAACAACGGAAAUAACAGAAAAAACUGAAAUAACAAAAAUAAUAACGGAAAUAACGAAAAUAACCUUCACAGAGAUAGAAAC